GAUGAACGCUGGCGGCGUGCCUAAUACAUGCAAGUCGAGCGAACAGACGAGGAGCUUGCUCCUCUGACGUUAGCGGCGGACGGGUGAGUAACACGUGGAUAACCUACCUAUAAGACUGGGAUAACUUCGGGAAACCGGAGCUAAUACCGGAUAAUAUAUUGAACCGCAUGGUUCAAUAGUGAAAGACGGUUUUGCUGUCACUUAUAGAUGGAUCCGCGCCGCAUUAGCUAGUUGGUAAGGUAACGGCUUACCAAGGCGACGAUGCGUAGCCGACCUGAGAGGGUGAUCGGCCACACUGGAACUGAGACACGGUCCAGACUCCUACGGGAGGCAGCAGUAGGGAAUCUUCCGCAAUGGGCGAAAGCUUGACGGAGCAACGCCGCGUGAGUGAUGAGGGUCUUCGGAUCGUAAAACUCUGUUAUUAGGGAAGAACAAAUGUGUAAGUAACUAUGCACGUCUUGACGGUACCUAAUCAGAAAGCCACGGCUAACUACGUG
rnacentral:rRNA from 1 species